CAGGGAGACAACAAAAUGUUAAAUAUUAUUUUGUCACCUUAGGUCGAUCGGUAUCUCACGUUCUUAAUUUAUUAAGAAUUUCAUUUCCUAAGUUUUUCUAGGUCACACCCAUUAUUUUUCCUGGGCCAUUAGCUCAGGUGGUUAGAGCGCACCCCUGAUAAGGGUGAGGUCCCUGGUUCAAGUCCAGGAUGGCCCAUAUCUCUAUGUUGGGGGUAUAGCUCAGUUGGUAGAGCGCCUGCUUUGCAAGCAGGAUGUCAGCGGUUCGAGUCCGCUUACCUCCACUGAUUACCACCUCUUCCAUAAUCGGUAGAAAGGAAAUCUUUUGAGUUGUGAUCAAAUUCUGAACGAAUCUAGCUUCCUAAUGUAAUCAUUAAGAUGCUGGACUCAUUGAAUUAAUUUCAUUGUUUUCAGAGAACCUUGACAACUGCAUAGAUUAUUUUUAAAAGACAAUAAGCAUCUUUAAUGAUGCAGAUUUAUUAUUUGUGCGAAUGCAUUAAUAACAAUUCUAUUAAGCUGAUGCUUCAAUUUUGAAGUUAUU
rnacentral:tRNA from 1 species